rnacentral:rRNA from 1 species
UACGUAGGGUGCAAGCGUUGUCCGGAAUUAUUGGGCGUAAAGAGCUCGUAGGUGGCCUGUCGCGUCGGCUGUGAAAACUCGGGGCUCAACUCCGAGCUUGCAGUCGAUACGGGCAGGCUAGAGUUCGGCAGGGGAGACUGGAAUUCCUGGUGUAGCGGUGAAAUGCGCAGAUAUCAGGAGGAACACCGGUGGCGAAGGCGGGUCUCUGGGCAGUAACUGACGCUGAGGAGCGAAAGCGUGGGGAGCGAACAGG